AGAUUGAACGCUGGCGGCGUGCCUAACACAUGCAAGUCGAGCGGUAACUGGUGUAGCAAUACAUGCUGACGAGCGGCGGACGGGUGAGUAACGCUUGGGAAUCUGCCUGUUAGUGGGGGACAACCCGGGGAAACUCGGGCUAAUACCGCAUACGCACUACGGUGGAAAGCCGGGGGACCGCAAGGCCUGGCGCUAACAGAUGAGCCCAAGUCGGAUUAGCUAGUUGGUAGGGUAACGCCUACCAAGGCGACGAUCCGUAACUGGUCUGAGAGGACGACCAGUCACACCGGAACUGAGACACGGUCCGACUCCUACGGGAGCAGCAGGUAGGGGAAUAUUGGACAAGUGGGACGAAAGCCUGACUCAGCGACGCCGGCGUGGUGAAGAAGCCUGCGGUUGUAACGUCCCUUUAGGAGGGAAGAAAGCCUAGACGUUAAC
rnacentral:rRNA from 1 species